GUCGACACAUCAAUCUAGUGGAUGGGGCCACUACAUCACCUUCACAAGUUGAAAUCCAUGUCUAGAAAAGCUACCACCAUUGUCAAUAGUGUCAUUGCCAACAUUAGUAAUAAGGAUGAAGGACAUCUUAAGUAAGCAUGUUAUUCUCACAGUGCUUGAGAAACAUCCUAUUCUCAACUACAUGAAUGUUCUAGGAGCCACGAAGUGCAGGUUAUUCACCACCAUUUUAAUAAAAGGAGCAAUGGCCUUACAAGAUCAUACGAAGAGGAUCAAAUGAUUCAUGGGAAGAGCUAUGUCGUAAGCUCAUUGGUCACUUCAGAAACUCUCGAAGACAACAAAAAAUUAUGGCGACCUUAUAGGCAAAUUUUCAAGGAAAUAAUGAGCCACUUCGCGACUACAUUGAAAUAUUAUACAAGGAGGUUUUCUAAAUGCGAGGAGUAGAUAAGAAAAAUGAAGUUUUACUUUCUUAAGAGAGGUCUCCAUCGAGGAAUGGACUUCGCCAAAGAAAUUGGUGUUGAAUAACCAACGAGCCUUAACGAAUUCUUGAACACAUGAAAAAAUAUGCAUAAGGUAUGAAAAGAAGUCGAGCAUGAAUCAAUGUUCGUCCACUCCAUAAUUCACCUUGACAAGAGCUUCGAUGCACUUGCCCAUCAGCAAAAUUUCUCCCGAGAUGCGCUUAGUUGAUACAAUCGUCACUUACAAUAACAUAGGUAAAAAUUCAUCCCACAACUGAUACAUUUUAAGCCUCAUCGAGGAAGAGAGCUUACCACAACAAGUUCCACCUUUGAGUAUAAAAAAAAAAUUAGGUAAAACCUUUCCAUUUUGAAAUGGAUCAAGUUUUAAACCUCAUCGAUCGAGAAUGAUAACUUACCACAAUAAGAUCAACC
rnacentral:lncRNA from 1 species